UCUAUAGCUUCAUGCAACAGAAAAUCCUUCCCCGCCUCACCACGGCUGGGGCUGGAGGGCUGUGCUGUGCCAAGGUGCUCCAAGGCAGUGUCAAUACCUAUUUCUCAUUAAAAGGGUUUAUGGCAGCGGAGGAACAGCUUCGGGCAUGGCAGCCUUGAGGGGUGCCCCCUUCACACCUGCAGAACAUGGGAUCCUGAUGAGCAGGAGAAAGAAGAGGACCACGGAGGAUAUGUAGCAAUCUCUGCCUGCAAGCCCGUGCUGCAUCGGGCUGUGAACAUGACUGACAGCCUGGAGAAGGAAAGAGAGGACAGGAGAGGCCCAGGAGUCCCAGCAGGAGAAGGAGAGGGAAAUGCACCAGGACAUAAUGGGUGUUCUCAGGCAGCAAACCCAAAUGCUGCAAACCCUGGCUGACCUACAGGUCCAAAAUCCCAGACUCUCUCCACCCUUGGAGAACUCCAUGGUCACUGCUCCUCACGCUCCCCAACUUUCCACAUGGCAUCCCUGGGUGAAGCCUUACCCCUACCACUCUGUGCUUUGUGACAGCAAGGGAAGCCAUGGCGUCACAUACACCAGCCAUGGUUCUCACAGGUCGGUGUAUGUAUAGCCACAACAGACUGUUUGUGCACUGAAAUGGACAGAAAUGUUUACUUCCUUUCUCAGUUUAAAUUGUCACCCCGUUAAGUGAUGUUAAAAAUUUGUAAAACUCUGUCUGUGAGGGCUUUUGCUCUAUCUCUGCUCACUCAGUAAAGCUCUAUUUUUGGACAAUCAAA